rnacentral:lncRNA from 1 species
UUAACAGCGUCAACAGCAACUCACUCCAAACAGCGUAACGACGUGAAUCAACAACUUCAACCAAAAAACCAUAAGCCCGACAUCAACAACAGCGACAUCAACGCUGUUCCAUAAUAUCAACGGCUCCAAUAACGGCGUUCAACAAUCCAACGGCAAAAUCCCAAAUCAGACAAAAAUCAGAAAUCUUUCAUCUUUUUCAGUUUGGGAUUCACUGAUUUGGGAAAAAAUCAGUCCGUUUCUUUGACCAACCAAAACCAAACGGCUCUUUUAUUUACAUCUCUACUGAUUCUUGAGUACAAAGGCCAUUAAUAUGGAUAUCAAAAAAUUUCAGAAACAGAUUUGAAAUCUUCAAUUUGAAGUUCACUCUUUCAAAACCCUAGCUUCCCCUAUAAAUAGAUAGCAACGGUCACGGGUGAGGAGAGGAAUUUUUGGGGGAAAAUUGGGGGUUCUGGAGACGUGUGUCUCUAACCUCACGCAACCAAAAUUCCGACGAAAUCGAGUUAAAAUCGGGUGGUAAAAAACCUUAUCGUUAUAGGCUCGUCGUCCCAUUCGCUGCCCGGAUGAAGGUAACUCCUUUUUUGUCCAUCUUCCGUGUGCCAUAGAUUAGGUUUUAUUAAUAAGGAAAAAUCUUGAAUCUGUUGUUCAUGUGGAAGUUAAAAUGGAUCCUAAUCCUUGUUGUCGUGGUAUUUUUCUUGGGGUCCGAUUUGUUAAGUGUUGUUACUGUGUUGUUGUUAUUAGAAUAGUUGGAUCUCCGUGGGAUGUUGGUCGUUUGAAUGGUGUUUUCUGGAAGUAACAGUAAAGUCUCGGUGUUGAAUUAUCUUGAUGUUUGAGUGUGUUGAGUAUAUGUUUUAUUGUUUGAACAAUAAAACAAUAUAAUUGAUGUAGGGUGGUCAUUGAUUUACUUCAAAAUCAGUAUCUUUGCUGUAGGGUGGAGCUUAAAUAAUUGCUAUACGAGGCUUUGACUAAGGGAUUCAAAGUUUUUAACUCUUAUGUACUUUUCUCUAUCAUGAAUACAUUCUCUGGUUUGCACAUAGCUUGAUAUCCAUAAUUCAACUUUCCUCGGAAAUCUUGUAAACUAUAUAAUUGUUGGACCGAAUGCUUGAAUCAUAGAAAUUGCGUGGUGUUAACGGAAUGUGAUAAUUACAUGCCUCGCAUUUUGUAUUGAGAUUACCACGUUUCACAUAAUUGAGCAUUAAGCAUUUUCUUUAAGUGUUUUUACUUGCUUGAUUAUUGGUUAAAGAUUCUUCUUGGAUGCUCAUCUUUAUCUCGUUUUCUGUGCAUGAACUCUCUUGAUCGAGUCCGUUUGGACUCCUCAUCUUGCAUACCCUUGGUGCCAUGCCUCCGUAGCAUUGAGUCGAGCCUCCUACUUCUUCAAAAGGACUAGUAUGAACGAACAGCCACUGAUAUACACGGAUAUAUAGAAAGUAUACAGGAUUUGUGAUCUGAAAGUGGCUGGUAUAUGCGCAUACAUGAUGCAUAACGAGAUUGGAAUCAAUUGUACGGUUGACAUACGCUAAUAUACAGCAUAUAUACACAAAAACGCAGGGGAAAAGAGCUGUGAUAUACAGCUGGUAUACAGUUCAGAAAUGGAACCAAAGUCCAUAAUUGUAAGCCCCAGAAAUGGGCAGCUUUCUUGCUGGGCCAAUUAGGGGCCCAAUUCAAUUCUUAUAUCCAUGUUUGUAGCUUAUAUUGCUUAUUUGUAGCUCAUAUUGUUUAUUUAUAUUAAUUCUUAUAUCCAUGUUUGUAGCUUAUAUUGCUUAUUUGUAGCUCAUAUAGUUUAUUUAUAUUAAUUAAUAUUUUAAUCAACUAAUCUAGGUAAAUUCCCUAAAUUGUUGUCAUUUUUAUUUUAUUUUAGACUUCUUCCACUUAAUUUAUAAUUUCUUC